rnacentral:rRNA from 1 species
GGUUGACCUCGGAUCAGGUAGGGAUACCCGCUGAACUUAAGCAUAUCAC